rnacentral:lncRNA from 7 species
GAAGGAGAGAGCUCUUGGAGACAACCGAACGCCUUCAGACGGAGACGAACCCACAAGGACGAACAGGAGGAGGAGCGUCGACGAGGACCAGGAGGCCGGAGCCCCGCCAAGCCAAGACAUAGCUAGGACUCCACCUUGCAGCAUCUAGCUCCACUUCCACCUCAACAAGAGAUAUGAGAGCCUCUCCUCCCUAUCUCGAUUGCUUACCGCUACUCACGAGUUUGAUCAUCAAUGGUGUCUGUAGCGCAAGCCACCAAUGACUGUAAGUAGAGACAUUCUGCCCGAACCAGUAUAAAUCUUACGCCCUCCGUGCACACCCUUCGGAGUCCGGAACACACAAUAAAUUUACUUGUCGGAGCGAGGUACGAAACACUGACACGUGUCGUGCCACAUUAGAGCAAACCAAUGAAAGUUGAAGUGACAUAAAAUUUAAGUUCGAGGACCCAAGUGACACGACAUGCCAAGUUGGAGGCUCCAAGGGCUCUGACGUGGCAUGCCACGUCGGUAUCUAGUUUUACAAAUCUGGCUUUGGAUAGUUUUCAUGGGCUGACAAAAUUCGAGGACUUGUUUGCUUGGUUUUCUAAGUUCGGGGUAGAUGACACAACAUGACAAAUUUGUGAACCACUAGUGUACUUUACUCUUUGUUAAUAUAUUGAGACGAAUCGAGUUGAGUUG